GUACUCACUUCAGUAGCACAUAUACUAAAAUUGGAAUAAUACAGAGAAGAUUAGCAUGACCCCUGCACAAGGAUGACACGCAAAGCUGUGAAGCAUUGCAUAUUUUU